CCCUUAGAUGUUCUGGGCCGCACGCGCGCUACACUGGUCUUCGCAAACGGAUGCAUUCUCGAAGGAGAAUGCCAAUCUUGGAAUCUAUGCCUUGGUCGGGACAGUUGCUUGCAAUUUUUCGACUCGAACCAGGAAUUCCUUGUAAUCGUGAUUCAUCACAUCACGAUGAAUACGUCCCUGCCCUUUGUACACACCGCCCGUCGCUCCUACCGAUCGAAGAGUUGGGUGAAUUGUUUUGAUCGAUAAGAUUUGACUAUGGUCAACUCUCGUUGUGAAAUUCUGUGAAUCUGACUGUUUAGAGGAAGGAAAAGUCGUAACA
rnacentral:rRNA from 1 species